rnacentral:rRNA from 1 species
AUUGAACGCUGGCGGCAUGCCUUACACAUGCAAGUCGAACGGCAGCACGGGAGCAAUCCUGGUGGCGAGUGGCGAACGGGUGAGUAAAGUAUCGGAACGUGCCCAGUCGUGGGGGAUAACGUAGCGAAAGUUACGCUAAUACCGCAUACGAUCUAUGGAUGAAAGCGGGGGAUCGCAAGACCUCGCGCGAUUGGAGCGGCCGAUAUCAGAUUAGGUAGUUGGUGGGGUAAAGGCCCACCAAGCCGACGAUCUGUAGCUGGUCUGAGAGGACGACCAGCCACACUGGGACUGAGACACGGCCCAGACUCCUACGGGAGGCAGCAGUGGGGAAUUUUGGACAAUGGGCGAAAGCCUGAUCCAGCCAUGCCGCGUGCAGGAUGAAGGCCUUCGGGUUGUAAACUGCUUUUGUACGGAACGAAAAGGACUGCCCUAAUACGGUGGUCCCAUGACGGUACCGUAAGAAUAAGCACCGGCUAACUACGUGCCAGCCGCCGCAGUAAAAC